GAUGAACGCUGGCGGCGUGCCUAAUACAUGCAAGUCGAGCGAACGGACGAGAAGCUUGCUUCUCUGAUGUUAGCGGCGGACGGGUGAGUAACACGUGGAUAACCUACUUAUAAGACUGGGAUAACUUCGGGAAACCGGAGCUAAUACCGGAUAAUAUUUUGAACCGCAUGGUUCAAAAGUGAAAGACGGUCUUGCUGUCACUUAUAGAUGGAUCCGCGCUGCAUUAGCUAGUUGGUAAGGUAACGGCUUACCAAGGCAACGAUGCAUAGCCGACCUGAGAGGGUGAUCGGCCACACUGGAACUGAGACACGGUCCAGACUCCUACGGGAGGCAGCAGUAGGGAAUCUUCCGCAAUGGGCGAAAGCCUGACGGAGCAACGCCGCGUGAGUGAUGAAGGUCUUCGGAUCGUAAAACUCUGUUAUUAGGGAAGAACAUAUGUGUAAGUAACUGUGCACAUCUUGACGGUACCUAAUCAGAAAGCCACGGCUAACUACGCG
rnacentral:rRNA from 1 species